rnacentral:lncRNA from 1 species
ACAUGAUGUUACAUGAUUGUACACACUGUAUAUACACUGUAUAUUUAUUGUAUUCUAUGGUAUACACUGUAUGGGCUGUGAUGAUUACUUGUUAUUUGGGCCACAUCUGUACCGAGCCAAAUUUUAUUUCUGAGCCCCAUUUUCAUUACCUCCAUUGGGUCGUCUGACCCAACCCAAUGACUCAUGUAUAUAUACUUGUACCUCAGAUAUUUUGUGAUGCAGAUUUCAUUUUAUUCUCAUUUCACUUAAUAAAACUCUCUAGAUUCCAGAGCCUUA